rnacentral:rRNA from 1 species
AGUCGUAACAGGUCUCCGUAGGUGAACCUGCGGAGGGAUCAUUACAAGAACGCCCGGGCUACGGCCUGGUUAUUCAUAACCCUUUGUUGUCCGACUCUGUUGCCUCCGGGGCGACCCUGCCUUCGGGCGGGGGCUCCGGGUGGACACUUCAAACUCUUGCGUAACUUUGCAGUCUGAGUAAACUUAAUUAAUAAAUUAAAACUUUUAACAACGGAUCUCUUGGUUCUGGCAUCGAUGAAGAACGCAGCGAAAUGCGAUAAGUAAUGUGAAUUGCAGAAUUCAGUGAAUCAUCGAAUCUUUGAACGCACAUUGCGCCCCCUGGUAUUCCGGGGGGCAUGCCUGUUCGAGCGUCAUUUCACCGCUCAAGCCUCGCUUGGUAUUGGGCAACGCGGUCCGCCGCGUGCCUCAAAUCGUCCGGCUGGGUCUUCUGUCCCCUAAGCGUUGUGGAAACUAUUCGCUAAAGGGUGUUCGGGAGGCUACGCCGUAAAACAACCCCAUUUCUAAGGUUGACCUCGGAUCAGGUAGGGAUACCCGCUGAACUA